AACUGGUCAUGAUCUAGAGUCGAUCACCUGAUGAGCCCAAGACAGGGCGAAACUAGUC
rnacentral:hammerhead_ribozyme from 15 species